UACGUAGGGGGCAAGCGUUGUCCGGAAUCAUUGGGCGUAAAGAGCGUGUAGGCGGCCCGAUAAGUCCGCUGUGAAAGUCCAGGGCUCAACCCUGGAAUGCCGGUGGAUACUGUCGGGCUCGAGUCCGGAAGAGGCGAGUGGAAUUCCUGGUGUAGCGGUGAAAUGCGCAGAUAUCAGGAGGAACACCAAUGGCGAAGGCAGCUCGCUGGGACGGUACUGACGCUGAGACGCGAAAGCGUGGGGAGCGAACAGG
rnacentral:rRNA from 1 species